rnacentral:rRNA from 1 species
AGCAGCCGCGGUAAUUCCAGCUCCAAUAGCGUAUAUUAAAGUUGUUGCAGUUAAAAAGCUCGUAGUUGAAUUUCGGAAUCUGUCCAUCGGUCGAGCUUCACUGUUCGUACUGGUGUGGUGGGUUCUUACCUUCUGAAUAACCAGCAUGCCAUUCACUUGGUGCGUUGGGGAAGCAGGACUAUUACCUUGAAAAAUUAGAGUGCUCAAAGCAGGCCAGCGCCUGAAUACAUUAGCAUGGAAUAAUAAAAUAGGACGGCUUGGUUCUAUUUUGUUGGUUUCUAGGAUCACCGUAAUGAUUAAUAGGGAUAGUUGGGGGCAUUAGUAUUCAAUUGUCAGAGGUGAAAUUCUUGGAUUUAUUGAAGACUAACUUCUGCGAAAGCAUUUUGCCAAGGAUGUUUUCAUUAAUCAAGAACGAAAGUUAGGGGAUCGAAGACGAUCAGAUACCGUCGUAGUCUUAACCAUAAACUAUGCCGACUAGGGAUCGGACGAUGUUAAUUUUUAAUGACUCGUUCGGCG